rnacentral:rRNA from 1 species
GGGCCCGCACAAGCGGUGGAGCAUGUGGUUUAAUUCGAUGAUACGCGAGGAACCUUACCAGGGCUUAAAUGUAAGUUGCAUAAGUUAGAGAUAGCUUUUUCUUCGGACUACUUACAAGGUGCUGCAUGGUUGUCGUCAGCUCGUGCCGUGAGGUGUCAGGUUAAGUCCUAUAACGAGCGCAACCCCUGUUGUUAGUUGCCAUCGAGUAAUGUCGGGAACUCUAACAAGACUGCCGGUGCAAACCGUGAGGAAGGUGGGGAUGACGUCAAAUCAUCACGGCCCUUACGUCCUGGGCUACACACGUGCUACAAUGGCCGGUACAGAGAGCAGCCACUACGCGAGUAGGAGCGAAUCUCGAAAGUCUAUCUCAGUUCGGAUUGGAGUCUGCAACUCGACUCUAUGAAGCUGGAAUCGCUAGUAAUCG